rnacentral:sRNA from 1 species
AUGUACCCGCGUACAUUCCGGUUCCUCCGCGCCGGCCGCACCCACCUGACGGCUGCUCGCUACGUUUUGUUAGCC